GUGGUUUAAUUCGAAGCAACGCGAAGAACCUUACCAGGUCUUGACAUCCCCUGACAACCCGAAGAGGAUUCGGGCGUUCCCCUUCGGGGGACGAGGGUGACAGGUGGUGCAUGGUUGUCGUCAGCUCGUGUCGUGAGAUGUUGGGUUAAGUCCCGCAACGAGCGCAACCCUCGCCUUUAGUUGCCAGCAUUCAGUUGGGCACUCUAAAGGGACUGCCGGUGUCAAACCGGAGGAAGGUGGGAUGACGUCAAGUCCUCAUGGCCUUUAUGUCUAGGGCUACACACGUACUACAAUGGCAGGUACAAAGGGCAGCGACACAGCGAUGUGAUGCGAAUCCCGAAAAGCCUGUCUCAGUCCGGAUCGGAGUCUGCAACUCGACUCCGUGAAGUUGGAAUCGCUAGUAAUCGUGGAUCAGCAUGCCACGGUGAAUACGUUCCCGGGCCUU
rnacentral:rRNA from 1 species